rnacentral:rRNA from 1 species
GAUGAACGCUGGCGGCGUGCCUAAUACAUGCAAGUCGAGCGAACGGACGAGAAGCUUGCUUCUCUGAUGUUAGCGGCGGACGGGUGAGUAACACGUGGAUAACCUACCUAUAAGACUGGGAUAACUUCGGGAAACCGGAGCUAAUACCGGAUAAUAUUUUGAACCGCAUGGUUCAAAAGUGAAAGACGGUCUUGCUGUCACUUAUAGAUGGAUCCGCGCUGCAUUAGCUAGUUGGUAAGGUAACGGCUUACCAAGGCAACGAUGCAUAGCCGACCUGAGAGGGUGAUAGGCCACAUUGGAACUGAGACACGGUCCAGACUCCUACGGGAGGCAGCAGUAGGGAAUCUGACGCAAUGGGCGAAAGCCUGACGGAGCAACGCCGCGUGAGUGAUGAAGGUCUUCGGAUCGUAAAACUCUGUUAUUAGGGAAGAACAGAUGUGUAAGUAACUGUGCACAUCUUGACGGUACCUAACCAGAAAGCCACGGCUAACUACGUG